rnacentral:snRNA from 1 species
AAACUUACGUUUCGCUGGGACAAGGGUGAUCACGAACGCCGUGGCCCCAGGUGAAGGAUCGCCCUUGCACUCCGGUGAAUUGAAGCCUGCAACGAUCCCUAAUCGGGCUCAUUUGGACGCUUAGAUUUUGUCAAUGUUGAGGUUUUUGGACCAUCCCUU